GGUGACGGAGAUGUAGGAGGGGGCGUAGAUGAAGGCGAUCUUGCUGUUGGGGUUGCGAGCGGUGACCGAGAGGUCGAGGCGGGAGGUGAGCUGACCGGAAGAAGUGAUGUUGAGGGCGGUGAGGCGGAGGGAGGAGACGGUGAAGGUGGGGCGGUGGGGGCGGUAGAGGACGUAGAAGGCGCCGCCAACGAUGGCGGCAAGGAGGAUGAGGGCGAGUAAGAGGAGAGUUAACCAGAGAAAACAGGCGCAACAGCAGCUGCGGCGGCGACGGGGGCGGCGCUUGGGAGGGGGUUGGGGGCGGUAGGUGGGGCGGGGGGCAUGCAUCUGGGACUUGGUGGGCGGAAAGGAUGGUGGGGCGGUGGGGCGGCCGUUGGCAGCGGCACUGACGCCAGCGGCGCCAGGCGGUGGUGGAACCAGCGCCGGCGGCGGCUUGGAGGCGGGGUAAACCCUAUCGGCCAUGAGUGAGAGAGAGAAGAGUUUCCG
rnacentral:misc_RNA from 1 species